CACGUAGGGACCAAGCGUUGUCCGGAUUUAUUGGGCGUAAAGCGCUCGUAGGCGGUUCGGUAAGUCGGGUGUGAAACCUCCAGGCUCAACCUGGUGACGCCACCCGAUACUGCCGUGACUUGAGUUCGGUAGGGGAGCGGGGAAUUCCCGGUGUAGCGGUGAAAUGCGUAGAGAUCGGGAGGAACAUCAGUGGCGAAGGCGGCCAUCUGGGACAACACUGACGCUGAAGCACGAAAGCGUGGGGAGCAAACAGG
rnacentral:rRNA from 1 species